UCAAACUUGGUCAUUUAGAGGAAGUAAAAGUCGUAACAAGGUUUCCGUAGGUGAACCUGCGGAAGGAUCAUUAUCCAUCUUACCAGCUGCGGUUGCGGCCUCCAGGGUCUACCCCCGGGUGGUAGAGGUAAAACUCUCACGCACCGUACGUCUGCAUCCUUUCUUUACGAGCACCUUUCGUUCUCCCUCGGCGGGGUUAACCUGCCGCUGGGAUCUAUCAAAACUCUUUUGCAUUUAGCAUUACCUGUUCUGAUACAAACAAUAAUUACAACUUUCAACAAUGGAUCUCUUGGCUCUGGCAUCGAUGAAGAACGCAGC
rnacentral:misc_RNA from 1 species